UCUUAGCGGCGGACGGGUGAGUAAUGCUUAGGAAUCUGCCUAUUAGUGGGGGACAACAUUUCGAAAGGAAUGCUAAUACCGCAUACGUCCUACGGGAGAAAGCAGGGGAUCUUCGGACCUUGCGCUAAUAGAUGAGCCUAAGUCGGAUUAGCUAGUUGGUGGGGUAAAGGCCUACCAAGGCGACGAUCUGUAGCGGGUCUGAGAGGAUGAUCCGCCACACUGGGACUGAGACACGGCCCAGACUCCUACGGGAGGCAGCAGUGGGGAAUAUUGGACAAUGGGCGCAAGCCUGAUCCAGCCAUGCCGCGUGUGUGAAGAAGGCCUUAUGGUUGUAAAGCACUUUAAGCGAGGAGGAGGCUACUUUAGUUAAUACCUAGAGAUAGUGGACGUUACUCGCAGAAUAAGCACCGGCUAACUCUGUGCCAGCAGCCGCGGUAAUACAGAGGGUGCAAGCGUUAAUCGGAUUUACUGGGCGUAAAGCGCGCGUAGGCGGCUAAUUAAGUCAAAUGUGAAAUCCCCGAGCUUAACUUGGGAAUUGCAUUCGAUACUGGUUAGCUAGAGUGUGGGAGAGGAUGGUAGAAUUCCAGGUGUAGCGGUGAAAUGCGUAGAGAUCUGGAGGAAUACCGAUGGCGAAGGCAGCCAUCUGGCCUAACACUGACGCUGAGGUGCGAAAGCAUGGGGAGCAAACAGGAUUAGAUACCCUGGUAGUCCAUGCCGUAAACGAUGUCUACUAGCCGUUGGGGCCUUUGAGGCUUUAGUGGCGCAGCUAACGCGAUAAGUAGACCGCCUGGGGAGUACGGUCGCAAGACUAAAACUCAAAUGAAUUGACGGGGGCCCGCACAAGCGGUGGAGCAUGUGGUUUAAUUCGAUGCAACGCGAAGAACCUUACCUGGCCUUGACAUAGUAAGAACUUUCCAGAGAUGGAUUGGUGCCUUCGGGAACUUACAUACAGGUGCUGCAUGGCUGUCGUCAGCUCGUGUCGUGAGAUGUUGGGUUAAGUCCCGCAACGAGCGCAACCCUUUUCCUUAUUUGCCAGCGAGUAAUGUCGGGAACUUUAAGGAUACUGCCAGUGACAAACUGGAGGAAGGCGGGGA
rnacentral:rRNA from 1 species